CCUAGAAUAGAACAGAGAGCAGAACAAUGGCUCAUUUCUCUAUGCAGGCACAUCUUUUUCUAGUCAGAGCUCAUUAACCCCUGUGUCCCAGCUGCCUUCCAGGCCAGAGAUGUCAUGGCUGUGAGCUGCAGAGAAACUCCCUGAGGGCUGGGACAGUAGUUCUUGGGGUCAGCACUGUUCUGGUCCUGAGGUAGCUGCAUUGUCAGAGGCGAUCGCUGAGCUCACAUUCUGUACGGUGGCUUUAGGAACAAAGUUGUGCAAGUACUUCCCAUAGGAUCAUCCCACAGUGUUUUGCAACUCCCAAUUUGUACAAUAGAAGCAAGAAGCAAUUAAAGCCGUUCAUGUUUUUGGUGUGAGUAGAUCUAUCCGACUUCACAAAUCCAUUCUAAAAAUUGGACUCCUUUUAAAAUUAAUAUUGAUAAUUAGCAGGGCGUGACUAAGCUUGAGUGGGUGCUUUCAUGGGGACUUGAGAAAUACUGUCUUUAGCACCAAAUGAGAGACCCAUGCAACCCACUGCUGGAAGGGAGCUGCCUUUCCAGAGGGCACGGAAUGCAGGGCACUGGGGCGAGGGAUAGUGCAGUGACCAGUCCCUACCACAACAGGAAGUCCUGCUUUGAAUUCCAUAAAGAGCACCCUGGACGCCUCGAGGCUGAUUUAUCGGAUGUGUUUCCACUGAAGAACUUUCCAUGUGACUUUCUAAAACUUAGAAACAGGAAAAUGCUGACAGAGGCCACUGGGCUCAGCCUGGAGCAGACCAAAGACUGGGGUUCUGAGGUUGUCCCCACACAGAUCUGCCAACUGCCUGCAAGGAGGCAGAGCUGAAGCAGCGAGGAGAGGGCGUUUUACUGACUUCAAGUGAAUGGGGAAUGACUUCAGGGGCUCUCAGUACCCCUGAAAAACCUUUUUCUUGAGUGGCCAUUGGUGAGCUGUUCUCAAAAACUGUCCUAGUGAAUUGGGAAGCUUUGGAAAAGGUUGUGUCUUUCUCUAAGAGCUCUGUGCUGUUCAUUUGUUCUUCUUUCCUAGGCAGAAACCAGCGUGGUUCCUGUGAAGAGAAACCAUCAGCGAUGAUGCUAGAGGAUAGGUCUAGCACGAGGGUCCUUGACUCGAUGGGUGGCUCUCCACUUCUGUAGCUGAUGGGUGAGGACAACAGCUUGGUAAAAGGAGCUCCCAAGCACUGUCAGGAUGAGUUACAGCUCACCUUCUGUACAUGGACUGUACCACACCACCACCACCACGGCCAAGCCAGGCCCACGGACAACCCUGGAUGUGACUGCACCAGAAACAGCUACUAUAAGCCCUGAGACUACCAGUUUCAACAGCACCAAAAUCCUGGAUGUGUCCAGCUCUGGGCCCGGCGUGAGCACGAUGCUGCUGUCCUUUGGGAUCAUUACUGUGAUCGGGUUGGCUGUAGCUAUGGUUCUGUAUAUCAGGAAGAGGAAGAGGUUGGAGAAACUCCGGCACCAGCUCAUGCCCAUGUACAGCUUCGAUCCCACAGAGGAACAGGAUGAACUAGAGCAGGAGCUGCUGGAACACGGGCGAGAUGCAGCAUCUUCCCAGGCAUCGCAGAGCAAGGUAGGCAGCAGGGGCCAGUCAGUCUGUUAGCACCACCACUGGUACCGGCACCGCUUUUGUCAUGGAGUCAAGGAGUUGUUGUAGGGUGAGGAAACAACGUAAGACCUCAGGAGGACUUCCCCCGUCUCUGCCAGCCCUGAAGAUAGGGAGUUUGAGCAUUUUGGAAUGCUUAGAAUGGACUGAAGAGUCAGGCAACUAGGGUGAAGAUUCUGGGGACGCAAAGUGCUGACUCUACUCAACUAGGAGAGAGAAAAGGGCGACUUCACCAAGGAAGGGUGAGUUUGCCACAGUUUACCACCCAGGGCACAAGGGAGCCGUAGGAUGAAUGCCAUUGUUCUGGGAGAGGAGGCUUCAAUGCUCACAGAGCACCGAGGCUCCUUUGCCCUGAAUAGCAAAUAACUUCUGCAUAGUUUUAAGGUAUUCCUGCUUUGCCUAAGGAUGUAAGCGUGGGAAAAGGCCUUGCUGAGGGCGAGGCUGCAAGCUAACAGUUAACUGUGCUGCAAGCACCCAGGCAGAAAGCCUGCACGGUGUUGUGGCACAGUGCAUCUGGUCUUGUCAGCACCUCCAGGCCAGUCCUGCAGGGCUCUGAAAGAGAAAAGGGAGGACAGUUCUCUAUUUGAAUUUGGGGUGAGGGGGAGAAGGCUUGGUUUUGACCACUACCGAGUGUUUAAAGGCAUGUGGUGUGCUGAGAAAUGAUAGGGUUCUCAGAGACCUCCAACUUAGGAGUUAGGAAAUAGAGGGAUAGCUUGGCCAGUUGGUUUUGGUUAAUGGUCCAGGUGGGUCCUUGAGGCUGUCUCUUUCCCUAGUGGACUGAGAAGUAGAAAUAGGGAAGAAGGGCUUCUCACCAACAUUUGCAGCCAGCUUCACAGUGUUUUCUUUUUCCUUUGUCACCACCACCACACAAAAAGCCUUUCUGAAAGACAGAGACGGCAGGGAUGGCUGGAACAGAUUCUGCUGACAAGUCAAGGAGCCCUCCAGAGACCCAGCCGUCUUGUGUUCACAGACGUUGCCAAUGCCAUCAAUGCAUGAACAGCACCUGCCCCUGCUCUGGGAUCGG